CACCCCCCAAGCUUUGCUUGAUGUUGGGCCAUGACUCACUGUCAAGCCCCAAACUUCUAGGCGCCUCUGCCGGCCGCAAACGUAGCAUUGUUUUCGUUUUGCGUAGUUGGUACGAGUCUGCCUCGAACGUCUUACGACAUCACUA
rnacentral:misc_RNA from 1 species